GGAGAAAAGUAAAUUUUCGAAUCGCUCACAAUUUAUUGCAAAAUGCAAAAAUUUAUAAAUGUGACGAAUUUGUUUGUACCUGGUGCCGAUUGUUCGGCCAAGAACAAUACGUGUUUCUUAUGGUCUGGCUUUAAGAUUUUCAGGUUAUUUUCAAGACGGGCGGUGAUAGCGCCGCCAUAUUGACAAGUGCUCGAUGCCGAUCUAGUGGACUAUUUCAAAGUUAUCGUUGCGCGACAAGAUCACGUGAUUAUAUUAUAUUUAAAUUCUUUAAUUGUAUUUCAAUAUAUUAAAAUUAUAAAAAAUUUGAAAAAUUCA